AAGGACAUGACAGUAAUAACUGUCGUUUUUCAGAAAUAUCUCCUUGACAGGUUUUUCUAAUUUGCUACAACCAAAUUUGCAACUUUUGCCAACAGACGAUUUUAUGGAAGACUUGAAUUUGGUACUGGUACCGACAGAGAGAUGCGUUCUUGUCAUUUCUUGCUGAAAAGUACGUCGUCCAUCAAAGCUCCUCAGUUCGUACAUAUGUAAAAUUGCCAUAUACCAGCUGUUAUCCUUCUGUUAAAAAUGCCUCCUUGUUUAUCAAAAUCAAUAAUGAGAGACGUCUACGCCAUUUAUCCACAAAAGUAUAAUGUUGUACCACAAUACAACCAAACGAUCAUUUCUAUGCUCCAAAAUAGACCUGAGCGAAGUCCUAUCGCUAGAACUGAUAUGUACGAUAUUGUGAGCUUGCUUUACAUGUCGAAUGAGUUGGUUGAAAAAGAGAUCAUGAAAAGUGAAGGAGAAAAUGCACUCUCGUUUAUUCUGUCUCAUCUUGAUGAUCAAUCAAUGACGGUUUACUUGGAACCUACAUUAAGAAUUUUUUUAAGUGUACUAUAUUUACGAAUAACGCCCUUCCUCUUUUUUCGUACAAUGAAAACUGCCAAAACCAUUGGUUUACGCAGAAUUUUUCACGUCGUAAUGAAGCAAGGGACCAAACUAAUCAAGAAGUAAAGAUUUUUAAUGCAAAUAACAAAGAUGAAGCAAUUAGAUAUAUCAUCGAGGUUGAAGGAUUAAAGAAAGAAGAAGCCGACAACUAGCGACCACAGUUGACUCGCUGUCAUGAAUUUCAGUUUUUUACCUUGAUUUUCAUCAUUAAUUUUCUUGUCAAAUGCCAAAUACGAAAAUACGUUUUUCUCACUCUUUCUUCGGGGGGGAGAUGAGAAAUUGCAAAAUUUUCUGCAAAGCAGUCAAUCUCGGUAAAUCUUAGCGGAAAUAUGUCAAUUAUGUAAAACUCGUACUGUCUUGAAUUUUUCACCACCUUUCUGGAAUUUGCCAACGGGAAUGAAAGAAAAUCGGUCACAGAUCACGGACUAUAAAUUCAAUGGUGUCGCUUCUUAGCAAUUCUGAUUGGUUAACCGAAUAACAUAAAUAACAGGACGGACAAAACUCACACGGACUAUAUAGUCGAUGACAGAGACACAGAACGCACGGACUCAAGUGUAUGGUAUACUCAACGAAUUAAAACAAUUUUCAAUUUCUAUUUUUUCCUAUUUCCGGUUAACUUGAUUUCCCGACAGCAGCAUAGACAUGGGUUGCAAGCUUAGCAAAAAAUCCAACAACAACAGAAGGUUGGAACAUGGGGAACAUGAAGUAAGUAAUGGUGAACAAAUUGUUCACCAUAAUCUUGAAGAAGUGACGGCAGGAAUAGAAAAGAGUGGAAGACGUCAUCCCAUACAAGAGACUCUAAUGGAGGAAUUCAAUUUUUUACCUCAUGUCUUGGAUUUGAUAAGAGAACAUGGAUGUACGAUGGAAGCGCUGGAUGAUUUUGUGUUGAAUGUUCAGUCAACACAAGAAGAAGUUUAAGUCAGAAUGUAUUAGUUGCCAACUUUCAGGUCCGUUUUUCAAACGUCGCAUUUUACUUGAGCCGAAUGCAUUUAAAACAAAACAUAGCAAGGAAUUUAUCUAAGUUUAAAACUGUCUCAAGUAUAGAAAGAACCAUUCAAUAUAUUAUAGUAAAAAUAACCAUUCACUAUAUAAUAGUGUAAAAUGUAAGCACUUGAAAACGCAUCUUGUUUCAAAAACGGAAACUUUCAAGGACAUAUUUGUUUACAUCUUGCGUAACUUAUUGACAAUUAAUUAAUGUAACCAUUUAAUAACUUUCCUUAAAUUUUUGUAUGUAAAGAUAUAUUUAUUUUUCUAUUUAUGUCAUUAUUAACUUUGAAUGAAAUGAUAAUUUUCGAUGUAA